AAAUUGAAGAGUUUGAUCAUGGCUCAGAUUGAACGCUGGCGGCAGGCCUAACACAUGCAAGUCGAGCGGUAGCACAGAAGAGCUUGCUCUUCGGGUGACGAGCGGCGGACGGGUGAGUAAUGUCUGGGAAACUGCCUGAUGGAGGGGGAUAACUACUGGAAACGGUAGCUAAUACCGCAUAACGUCUUCGGACCAAAGAGGGGGACCUUCGGGCCUCUUGCCAUCGGAUGUGCCCAGAUGGGAUUAGCUAGUAGGUGAGGUAAUGGCUCACCUAGGCGACGAUCCCUAGCUGGUCUGAGAGGAUGACCAGCCACACUGGAACUGAGACACGGUCCAGACUCCUACGGGAGGCAGCAGUGGGGAAUAUUGCACAAUGGGCGCAAGCCUGAUGCAGCCAUGCCGCGUGUGUGAAGAAGGCCUUCGGGUUGUAAAGCACUUUCAGCGGGGAGGAAGGCGAUAAGGUUAAUAACCUUGUCGAUUGACGUUACCCGCAGAAGAAGCACCGGCUAACUCCGUGCCAGCAGCCGCGGUAAUACGGAGGGUGCAAGCGUUAAUCGGAAUGACUGGGCGUAAAGCGCACGCAGGCGGUCUGUUAAGUUGGAUGUGAAAUCCCCGGGCUUAACCUGGGAACUGCAUUCAAAACUGACAGGCUAGAGUCUUGUAGAGGGGGGUAGAAUUCCAGGUGUAGCGGUGAAAUGCGUAGAGAUCUGGAGGAAUACCGGUGGCGAAGGCGGCCCCCUGGACAAAGACUGACGCUCAGGUGCGAAAGCGUGGGGAGCAAACAGGAUUAGAUACCCUGGUAGUCCACGCUGUAAACGAUGUCGACUUGGAGGUUGUGCCCUUGAGGCGUGGCUUCCGGAGCUAACGCGUUAAGUCGACCGCCUGGGGAGUACGGCCGCAAGGUUAAAACUCAAAUGAAUUGACGGGGGCCCGCACAAGCGGUGGAGCAUGUGGUUUAAUUCGAUGCAACGCGAAGAACCUUACCUACUCUUGACAUCCAGAGAAUUUGCUAGAGAUAGCUUAGUGCCUUCGGGAACUCUGAGACAGGUGCUGCAUGGCUGUCGUCAGCUCGUGUUGUGAAAUGUUGGGUUAAGUCCCGCAACGAGCGCAACCCUUAUCCUUUGUUGCCAGCGAGUAAUGUCGGGAACUCAAAGGAGACUGCCGGUGAUAAACCGGAGGAAGGUGGGGAUGACGUCAAGUCAUCAUGGCCCUUACGAGUAGGGCUACACACGUGCUACAAUGGCGUAUACAAAGAGAAGCGAUCUCGCGAGAGCAAGCGGACCUCAUAAAGUACGUCGUAGUCCGGAUUGGAGUCUGCAACUCGACUCCAUGAAGUCGGAAUCGCUAGUAAUCGUAGAUCAGAAUGCUACGGUGAAUACGUUCCCGGGCCUUGUACACACCGCCCGUCACACCAUGGGAGUGGGUUGCAAAAGAAGUAGGUAGCUUAACCUUCGGGAGGGCGCUUACCACUUUGUGAUUCAUGACUGGGGUGAAGUCGUAACAAGGUAACCGUAGGGGAACCUGCGGUUGGAUCACCUCCUUA
rnacentral:rRNA from 1 species